rnacentral:rRNA from 1 species
GACGAACGCUGGCGGCGUGCCUAAUACAUGCAAGUCGAACGGAAAGACGAUGCUCUUGCUGGGCGCAUGAGAGGCGAACGCGUGAGUAACACGCGUGUAACCCCCCCCUGUCUUUCGGAUAACAUUACGAAACAGCGGAUAUAACACCAUAGGAGAUCCUGCUGCGUAUGGGGGGUUGGAAAGAUACGGCCGUUUGGGCAGGAUUCGAGGCUUCUCAGCUUGUUGGUGGGGUAGGUGCUUUCCAAGGCUUCGAAGGCUAGCCGGCCUGAGCGGGUGACCGGCGACAUUGGGACUAAGAUAGGGCGCAGAAUCCUACGGGAGGCAGCGGGGGGGAAUAUUGCACAGUGGGGCGAAGCCUGAGGCAGCAGCGCCGCGUUCGGGAUGACGGCCUUCGAGUUGUAAACCGCUUUCGCCUGUGACGUGGCGUGAGUGACGGUAAUUGGUAAGGAAGCACCGGCUAACUACGUG